GUUCUUCAUCCGUUGGAGAGAAGUGAAACCCAGGGGGAAGGUUGACGCUUCCAUCUGCCAUUAUAUCUCCUAUAUUUUAGCGUUGGACGAAUCAAAGGGUAAAAGGAGGCUAGGUAAAGCAGAGACAUAUCGUCCUGGCUCUUAGCAAAAGGGAAUCAAUGCAAUUGAGCAUUUACGAUAGCACAAGUUCAUGGCAGCUUUCUGGGUAAAGGAAGAUAAAUGUUGGUGCAAAAGCACUAAUACGCACUUCCAGAUUUCGUCUUCAAGGAGCAAUCCUUUGCAAUAGCUUCUACGUGCUAAGUGGGACCGUACCCACGUGUCCAUACACGAAAUGGAUAUGAUGAUAAUGCAAGCAACGUUUACAUGCAAGCAAGACAUUGGAUUUGACUUUCAGGUGCCAAGCUUUGCAGUGUGUCUGCCACUGAGUGUGAAAGGGAGAGGCACGUGGGCCCCACCAUCAUUCUUCUUCACCAGUUCUUUAAUAUUGGACGCAACCAUGCAAGCAUGUUCUUGUCGUGAUUGUGAAUUGGUAGUGGAUUUUAACACGUAGCCAUCAUCCCUGACCAUUGAAGCAUCAUGAAAUUCCCAGUGCAACUAUAGAUUGGCAACAAUUUACAGGAAAGACAGUGGCUUCGCAAUGACGACAAGAACAAAUUUACAUGUUUGUUGCGUCCAAUACGGAACAGCCCGCAAAAGAUUUGAAACAGCAUGAAAUUCUCCUGGCCAGUGUAAGUAGAUUUACAUCAGCAUGAGCGGUUUAUAUGACUGGGAGCUUAAAACUCUUUGUUGUUAGAAAUGCAUGUAAAGGAUUCAUAAUAAGAGUGAUUGGAAUCCCAUAGUUUACUUGCUGCAAGGAAUUAAUGUCUCUGGGAAGGUCUGCAAUUAUAUACAAAAGAAUUUAAGUGUGCAA